UGCCAGCCGCCGCGGUAAUACAGAGGGUGCAAACGUUGUUCGGAAUCACUGGGCAUAAAGCGCACGUAGGCGGUUCGGUAAGUGUGAAGUGAAAUCCCACGGCUCACCCGUGGAACUGCUUUGCAUACUGCCGAACUCGAGGAAGGUAGGGGAGAGCAGAACUCUUGGAGGAGCGGUGAAAUGCGUAGAUAUCAAGAGGAAUACCAGUGGCGAAGGCGGCUCUCUGGUCCUUUUCUGACGCUGAGGUGCGAAAGUGUGGGGAGCAAACAGGAUUAGAUA
rnacentral:rRNA from 1 species